rnacentral:rRNA from 1 species
CAGUAGCCGCGGGAAUACGUAGGGUGCGAGCGUUAAUCGGAAUUACUGGGCGUAAAGCGUGCGCAGGCGGUUUUGUAAGACAGGCGUGAAAUCCCCGGGCUCAACCUGGGAAUGGCGCUUGUGACUGCAAAGCUAGAGUGCGGCAGAGGGGGAUGGAAUUCCGCGUGUAGCAGUGAAAUGCGUAGAUAUGCGGAGGAACACCGAUGGCGAAGGCAAUCCCCUGGGCCUGCACUGACGCUCAUGCACGAAAACGUGGGGAGCAAACAGGAUUAGAUACCCCGGUAGUCACUGUCUCUUAUAC